CGGCUAGCUAAAGCUUUUCUACAAACAUGGAGAUGGAACAGAACGGGGAUGGACAUGCUGGGACACUCACGAGACUGAGGAACAUCUCUGAGCGGAAGCGUGGAAUUCACAUGAUAAAUGGUGAAGAUUUGUCUAUUCAUUCAACUUCAUAAGUGGAUCCUGAGGGCACUGGGUGUGAGGUAAGAGCUCACCCUGAAACACACACACACACACACACACUCACACACACAGAGACACACACACAGAGACACACACACACAUACACACACACACACACACACACACACACACACACAGACA